rnacentral:rRNA from 1 species
GACGAACGCUGGCGGCGUGCCUAACACAUGCAAGUCGAGCGGGGACAAUGGCUUCGGUUAUUGUUCUAGCGGCGGACGGGUGAGUAACGCGUGAGCAACCUCUCUCUCAGUGGGGAAUAACACAGGGAAACUUGUACUAAUACCGCAUGGGACCACGACCCGGCAUCGGGUUGAGGUGAAAGAUUUAUCGCUGAGAGGUGGGCUCGCGUCUGAUUAGAUAGUUGGUGGGGUAACGGCCUACCAAGUCGACGAUCAGUAGCCGACCUGAGAGGGUGAUCGGCCACAUUGGAACUGAGACACGGUCCAAACUCCUACGGGAGGCAGCAGUGGAGAAUCUUGCACAAUGGGCGAAAGCCUGAUGCAGCAACGCCGCGUGAAGGAUGAAGGCCCUUGGGUCGUAAACUUCUGUUCUAAGGGAAGAUAAUGACGGUACCUUAGGAGCAAGUCCCGGCUAACUACGUG